rnacentral:rRNA from 1 species
GAUGAACGCUGGCGGCAUGCCUAAUACAUGCGAGUCGAGCGAACAGACGAGGAGCUUGCCCCUCUGACGUUAGCGGCGGACGGGUGAGUAACACGUGGAUAACCUACCUAUAAGACUGGGAUAACUUCGGGAAACCGGAGCUAAUACCGGAUAAUAUAUUGAACCGCAUGGUUCAAUAGUGAAAGACGGUUUUGCUGUCACUUAUAGAUGGAUCCGCGCCGCAUUAGCUAGUUGGUAAGGUAACGGCUUACCAAGGCAACGAUGUGUAGCCGACCUGAGAGGGUGAUCGGCCACACUGGAACUGAGACACGGUCCAGACUCCUACGGGAGGCAGCAGUAGGGAAUCUUCCGCAAUGGGCGAAAGCCUGACGGAGCAACGCCGCGUGAGUGAUGAAGGUCUUCGGAUCGUAAAACUCUGUUAUUAGGGAAGAACAAAUGUGUAAGUAACUAUGCACGUCUUGACGGUACCUAAUCAGAAAGCCACGGCUAACUACGUG